UACGUAGGGACCAAGCGUUGUUCGGAUUUACUGGGCGUAAAGGGCGCGUAGGCGGCCUGUUAAGUCGGACGUGAAAUCCCUCGGCUCAACCGGGGAACUGCGUCCGAUACUGGCGGGCUUGAAUUCGGGAGAGGGAUGUGGAAUUCCAGGUGUAGCGGUGAAAUGCGUAGAUAUCUGGAGGAACACCGGUGGCGAAGGCGGCAUCCUGGACCGACAUUGACGCUGAGGCGCGAAAGCCAGGGGAGCAAACGGG
rnacentral:rRNA from 1 species